UGUAGGCUAAUUAAGGCAUGGUUCCCUGUAGACUAGGGAGGGUUACUACAGGUUAAUUGGAGCACCUGAAGUCAAUUAAGCCCUGUCAGGACCCUAAUAAACCCCCCUGCUUCAAGUAGUUAGAGGAGGGGAGGAAGGAAAGUGGACUGGAGCUUGGAGAUGUGUUGUAGGAGCUGAAAGAUCAGAGAACCAAAGUAAGGGAGACUCCCUCCCCCAGCAUCUAAGGACUGAGGGUAGGAAACCCACGGGGGUUGAAAGGGGCUGGGACUCACAGUGAAGAGCAAACCCAGACCCACUCCCCCCACUUCCCUUCUCUACUACCUUCCUGGGCCACUAGUGAGGCCUUUAGCACCCAAGAGCAGGGACAAAGGGUGGUUUCUUAGCACUGCCCCUCCUCUCUCUCCCCCUCCCCCUGCCAAGAAAAGCGCAGGACCUACCAUAUGAACGUUGGCCAUCUUGUCACACUGUGCAUUGUGCGACACAUAGUUACAUAUAUCCUAGUCUUCUGCCUUCACAUCAUACUUCCUUUCUGAGCAGGAUUUUCAAAUUGCUGUCAGGCAGCCUGAAGUUAACAAUGCUCCAUGCCAAUAUGCUGGCAAACUGAAAUGUGCAGAGGCACUUGGGCUGUAUUCAGCACUCAAAGAUGGAUUAAUUUGGCUUGGACUUUGUCAGCUGAACCACUGAGCAGAUGAUGUGGCAGCAGCAGCAGCUCCUCCAACAGCAGGAGGUACUUCAGUGGCAGUGGAAUUGGGGCACAGCAAGGAUGAAGAGGUACACACUGAGCAAGUGAUACUAGAAGACUGGUUUCUGGAGCAGCUUCACAACAUGUGCCACUGUUUCUGGGCUUGGGAAACCAUCAUGGAUUAGUGGAAAAGGAUUGUUCUGCACACCUGAGAGGACCAUGCAGUGAUGAGAGAAUUUCAGGGUGAGGAAGGCAACCUUUCUAGAGAUAUAUGCUGAACUAACUUCAGAGCUACAGGGCCAUUGUCAUGCAGUGAAUUGAGGUGUACAAAAAGUAAUGAUGGGGAAGACUAAAGUGAAUAGGAGAGAGUCUUGCAGUCACUCUCAGCAUUAUCUCAUAGUUCCACAAACUUAUAUGCCAUCUGCAGAAGCUCAGUAGCCUAUCUGGCAUCAAACCUCCUCUCCAGCUUUCAGCCUCAAGGAUGAGACCAUCACAUUCUCCUUCAAUCCUAGCCUAAACCACCUCAGGCUUUUCUAAUUCACAGUGACAAUGUAACUUAUUCAACCUAGCCUGUACUGCACAUAUGCACUUGCUAUUACAUUUGGUCUGCUUCAUUAGCAGCUUUGCAAUUUUAUAAACAUGAGCUGAAAUGAAAAAGGAGAGCCAAAGAUGGCUGUUGCUGGAAAUGAGAGUUGAGCGGCACUCACUGUAAAUAAAUUGUUAGCACU